AGCGGGAAGUGGCCGGCCGGGUUCCUGGGUUAGUAAGCGCGGGGACGCCCGCCGCGGUGGGUGUUUCACGCUGGGGCGUUCGGAUAGAGGGAAUGGAGCCGAGCACGCAGAGGCUCGCUGCUCACCGUGGCGGCGCCCCGGGCCCGCCCCUGAGGCUGGCUUUGCUCCCCACCCCGCUGCGCCCCUUCCCUCCUUGCGGCCUCGUUACUGACGCUCACCCCGCCUGGCCCUGCCGUGCGGCCCGGCCUGGACACUGUAGGAUGGUCAGCAGCUCGCCGGUCUCUGCGUCCGCUUAGAUCUGAGCUUCGGCCCGGCCAGCCCUAGUGUGACAACCAGAAGCGUCCCCAGACAUUGCUAAAGGACCCCCGGGGUUCACUUGUGCCAUUGAGAGCCAAGGACUUAAGAUAACCAGGCUGCAGCCUGUCUCAGCCUUCUAAGAGGCCACCCCGGACCACGCGAGGUCACCCUGCUGGCAUCUCAAGGCCCAGCCGUCGUCCUACAAGGCCUGUUGGGCCAGCCGGUCAAAGGUGCCGGCUCCGUGGUGGCAGAGUUCUAAGGCGUCCUCCUCACCGUGCCACAGCCCGUAGGACAGUGCCUGACCCUUCCUGGACUGGCAGAGUAUCUUCCAACAGUGACCCCCAGCAAGGCUUCAGAAACUGAGGUCUGCAGCUCCAGGGAUUCAACGAGUGUAAGACCAGUUCAUCCUUCCUCCAUCCUAGCUCCAGCCAAGACUGGCGUGGAGCCACACCCUGAGAAGGGGGCUGGGCCAGGCGUUCACCGGGAUGAGUAAUCCCGCCAAUAAGGUGAAAGGGGCAUGCACUGUAUUUUUUUAAUGUCUGGUGAAUAGACUGAUUCAUAGCACCGUGCUGGCACACAAGAGGCAGUGCGUGUUUAUUAAAUUCAUGAUGAGAGAAGAGCUAAAUGCCAGAACUGGACCUUCUCCACCUAUUAGUGCUAAUUGUUCAUCGUAUGUCAGCUCAGACGUCACUUUCCUAGCCCUCUUGCACUAAAUCAGCUCCACCUUUUCCUGUGUCAUUCCUUACACAUUUCCAUGUUCUUUAUACAGAUUCUUACACAUUUCUCUCACAACAUCCGUUAUAAUUUAUAAUUGUUUAUUUUGUGGAACUACUUAAUGUCUGUCUCAAAAUUCUUAUUAGUACAUGUUUGCAGUAGAUAAUGCUUACGUUCCUUGUGGGGAGCUGGUACAUGUACAUAACACAUCUUAAUUUUUUUUACGUCCGUUUCCCUUCCCUCUGUCUCUGUCUUUAAAGCUGAAAGGGCUGGAAUCUUACGUGUCUGUUCACUGCCGUACUCCUAGAGUCUAAAAUAGCACCCGCCAAUGAUAACUUUCUGUGAAAUUAACUAAAUGAUCAUUUGUUGGAUUGUAGGUGCUGGGACGACACCUUACAUUUAUAUUAGCAUCCUAGCUCACUAAUUGAAAAAGCAAACCUGAAAGAUUUCUAUCCAGUCACGGGUCUGGCAGGCAGUAGGACUCAGAUAAGAAAAGGUCUUGUGCCUGAUUCUUAGUUCUAGUGUUUUCUCAAUGUUCCCAAGGGAAGGGAGACAGAAUCUUUUUUUUUCCUAAGACUAGAAAGCCUGAAACAGGCAAAUCUAGAAUGAAGUUGACGUUGUGAAGCAUGGAGUAGCUUGCGUCAUGUCCUAACCUGGUGUCCCUGGCUGGCCUUCCUGGAGGAAUACAAACGAACUAUAAAAGUAGUCUCAGCAGAUACUGUGAUCAAAGGAGGAGCAGACUGCUUUCCGUGCGCUUCGAGGCCCUUCUGUUGGAAGCAUCUGGAGGAGGCUCAACAGGGCACCCAGGGCCCUUCCUGUCCCCUCCCCCGGUAAUUACUCCUGCGGAUUCCACAGUGACACAGUUGCCUUCCUACCCUUUUGUAGUACCUGCGUGGGAGAACCACAAAAGACUUCAUCAAAAUGAUCUAAUUAACUAUAAUAUCGUUUAUAGUUUUUCUCAUUUUACAAAUGAAUAAACUGCAGCACUGAAUGGGUAAAGUAAUAAGUCCCAAAAGAUCCGUGGAACUCUCACCCGAUUGAACAGAUGUGUUCCAGAAAAUCUGGAGUGACAUCAGCCCAGCAAAACCUCCUACUGUAACAGCCCUGAUUCCCCUUAAAAAUCAGGAAUGUGCCGGGCGUGGUGGCACACACCUGUAAUCCCAGCACUCGGGAGGCUGA